rnacentral:rRNA from 1 species
GGAUUAGGCAUGCAAGUCGAGCGAGAAUCUGAGAGUGGCGGCUUCGGCCAAAGCGAUCAGAGGACAGCGGCAAACGGCGUAGUAAGGCGUAGGUGACGUACCCUGAGGACCGGGAUAGCCAUGGGAAACCGUGGGUAAUACCGGAUGAUCUCUUGCGGCGUGGUGGCUGCGGGAGCAAAUGGUGUGAUUCCGCCUUGGGAGCGGCUUACGUGGUAUUAGCUUGUUGGUGGGGUAACGGCCUACCAAGGCGAAGAUGCCUAGGGGGUGUGAGAGCAUGGCCCCCACGACCGGGACUGAGACACUGCCCGGACACCUACGGGUGGCUGCAGUCGAGAAUCUUCCGCAAUGGGCGAAAGCCUGACGGAGCGACGCCGCGUGCGGGAUGAAGGCCUUCGGGUUGUAAACCGCUGUCAGAGGGGAUGAAGUUCUUGGGGGUUCUCCCCCUUGAUUGACAAAGCCUCAGAGGAAGGGCGGGCUAAGUUCGUGCCAGCAGCCGCGGUAAUACGAACUGCCCGAACGUUAUUCGGAAUCACUGGGCUUAAAGGGUGCGUAGGCGGCCUUUCAAGUCGGGUGUGAAAGCUCACGGCCCAACCGUGAAAUUGCGCCCGAAACUGAUGGGCUUGAGUACCAUAGGGGUGAGCGGAACUGCUGGUGGAGCGGUGAAAUGUGUUGAGAUCAGCAGGAACGCCGAUGGCGAAAGCAGCUCACUGGGUGGUAACUGACGCUCAGGCACGAAAGCCAGGGUAGCGAACGGGAUUAGAUACCCCGGUAGUCCUGGCUGUAAACGUUGGGCACUAAGUAGAGGGGUUUU